rnacentral:rRNA from 1 species
ACUCCUACGGGAGGCAGCAGUGGGGAAUAUUGCACAAUGGGCGCAAGCCUGAUGCGCAGCCAUGCCGCGUGAUAAGUCGAAGAAUGGCCUUCGGUUGAUGAAAUGUACUUUCAGCAGUGAGGAAGGUGGAUGCGUUAAUAGCGUAUUCAUUUGACGUUAGCUGCAGAAAGAAGCACCGGCUAACUCCGUGCCAGCAGCCGCGGUAAUACGGAGGGUGCGAGCGUUAAUCGGAAUUACUGGGCGUAAAAGCGCAUGCAGGUGGUUUGUUAAGUCAGAUGUGAAAGCCCGGGGCUCAACCUCGGAAUAGCAUUUGAAACCUGGCAGACUAGAGUACUGUAGA